GACGAACGCUGGCGGCGCGCCUAACACAUGCAAGUCGAGCGAUGAAAUUUUAACCGAUCUCUUCGGAGGGAAGAUAAAAUGGAUUAGCGGCGGACGGGUUAGUAACACGUGAGAAACCUGCCUUUCACAAGGGGAUAGCCUCGGGAAACCGGGAUUAAUACCCUCUGACACAUUUCCUUCGCAUGGCAGUAAUGUUAAAACUCCGGGGGUGAAAGAUGGUCUCGCGCCUGAUUCGCUAGUUGGCAGGGUACCGGGCCACCAAAGCCAGGAUGACUACCCGGCCUGAGAGGGUGGACCGUCACAUUGGAACUGGGACACGGUCCAAACUCCUACGGGAGGCAGCAGUGGGGAAUAGUGCACAAUGGAGUGAAUUCUGAUGCAGCUACGCCGCGUGAACUAUGUAGGCUUUCGAGUCGUAAAGCUCUGUCCUAUGGGAAGAUAAUGACGGUACCAUAGGAGGAAGCCCCGGCUAACUACGUG
rnacentral:rRNA from 1 species